rnacentral:hammerhead_ribozyme from 1 species
GUGAAUUGAAGAGUCCCAUAAUAGGACGAAACAGUUGUCUAGUAC